rnacentral:rRNA from 1 species
AGAGUUUGAUCAUGGCUCAGGACGAACGCUGGCGGCGUGCCUAACACAUGCAAGUCGAACGGAGAUGCACUGGUGAAGUUUUCGGAUGGAACCGGGGUAUUCUUAGUGGCGGACGGGUGAGUAACGCGUGAGUAACCUGCCUUUCAGAGGGGGAUAACGUUUUGAAAAGAACGCUAAUACCGCAUGACAUAUUGAGGCUGCAUGGCUUUGAUAUCAAAGGAGCAAUCCGCUGAAAGAUGGACUCGCGUCCGAUUAGCCAGUUGGCGGGGUAAAGGCCCACCAAAGCGACGAUCGGUAGCCGGACUGAGAGGUUGAACGGCCACAUUGGGACUGAGACACGGCCCAG